GGAAUUUCUUCCUCCUUCCCUUUAGCUUGAGAUCCCAAGGCCUGGGAGGGGUACAGGUGAAAGGCAGGACUGAAAGUGGACAGAAGUAGCCCCACCAGCGGGGCCUGGUCCCACAGCCAGUCCCUGCGUCCUCUCCCAAAACCUGCACCUUAGUGAGAGCCCGGAGAAGAGUCACAUUGCCACGUGUGCAGCUUCAGAAACCAUCCUGUGACCAUGAGGAAAAAGGAAAAAUGAGAACAUGAAAUAAGAAACUCUUAAAUGAUGCCAUGGAUCAGAGGCACCAUAGUGGUGACUUUCUACCUACCGUCAGACUUUCUGUAUGAGACGGACUCAUCCUCUGUGUUUAAGGUAGCAAGCCUGAGGUCCCGAAAUAUCAAGAGGUUUGCCGGGAGGUUUGCAGUUAUGAAAUAGCACAGCAAGCACCAGGAUGAGACGAGGAGACAGCCCAGCUAUGUCUUUAUCUUCCACACCUCCUUUGUAUUCUUCCUUGACAUUAUCACAAACUGACUCAUCAGCAAGAGGAUAAUCUACUAGGAAGCAGACGCGGGGAAUUUGGCCUGAUUGUCAUGGGCUGGAGACAAGGAGUCUACGAAAAGCUUGAACCAGAGCCUGAGUUUUCAGUGCCUCUGUUUGGCCUUGCUGUUCAUCUCUUACUUUUCAAAGCUCCCCAGUAAAACUGGAGUUAGGCUUGCUAAGAUGGUCUUCAUUAACCUGCACACAACGUCCAUCUGGAGAGCAGUUCGGUACCCUCUAAGUCACACUAGGCUGUCUGUCCCUUUUUCCCAGCCACCACUGACAGAGAAACCUCUGAGGAAGAAGGUACCCAUCUGGCAGGCAUGCAGAGCCGGGGUGCUUCAUAUUUAACUGAAGUGUAGCAAAAGCAGACAAAGCAGUUACAAGAAAAGAAAACUACAAUCACUAUAGAGAACAAAGUUGCAAACAUCUUUACCAUGAUAUUA